rnacentral:rRNA from 1 species
CGUUAAGUCAGAUGUGAAAGCCCGGGGCGUUAACCGUCGGAAUUGCAUUUGAAACUGGCAGGCUAGAGUCUUGUAGAGGGGGGUAGGAAGUUUCAGGUGUAGCGGUGAAAUGCGUAGAGAUCUGAAGGAAUACCAGUGGCGAAGGCGGCCCCCUCGGACAAAGACUGACGCUCAGAUGCGAAAGCGUGGGGAGCAAACAGGAUUAGAUACCCCUGGUAG